AAAACUAAUUAAAAUUAUAAUAACUUCCUUGUGGGCGGGCUACCUAUAUAAGUCAAUGGAAGAAAGUUUUCAAUAUUACUAAUCGUCUGGAAGUCUCCUCAUAGUUUGUCACGUCGAUAGAAGGAAAUAAAACCAUUCGCCAUGAAACUAUUACUUUUUGUUACAUUCAUUUUAUCAAUCGUUGCUUGGGCAAGUGCAAAAUCAAAACUCCUCUGUGAUUUAGAGUGCGCACAUGACAACGUUCCUGUCUGUGCCACUAAUGGACAAACAUAUGGCAACAGAUGCUUGUGUGACUGCCGCGGUGCAACGUUUGCUCACAAGGGCGUUUGUAAAGCCGAUGCUGAACCUAAUGUAGAUGAUUCUACUACUCAGGCCCCAUAAGGAGCAAGGAGCAUACAUAUAUCAUGUACCAAAUAAAAGAAAGUAAUAAAAUUCAAAACGAAUAAAGGCAGUAAAUCAUUUUAA